GUCACAGUGAUUUUACACAGAUGAUUGAGGUACACAUCUGGGCAGAUCCACGACAUCCUGCACACCACCAGCAUCCACACUCACACCUGGAUGCCUGCGAUCAUCAUGAAAGUCUGCACACACCCGAAGGCUUCUGUUCCUUUUCCCGGGAGCACGCCCAGCACCUACAGAGUGGUGAUGGCCUAUUGCGAUGACAGGUACCGCACCUGACAUUUCCCGGCACACUACAUCAGAGGCCUUGUGGCUGGCCGGCAGCUUUUCCCCACCUGGAUAGACACUGGACCGAACCCACACCCUGGGUUCACAAGAUGGGAACUGGAGCCCGGACAAAUAGAAGAACUCAACUGUGACCCAAUGAUUGUGAGAUCCAGCCAUUUCUCUGAGGAAGUGGGAUCCUUUUGUUGGAGGGAACGUCAGACAACGGGAAUGUGUCCCCGGUAGGCUCCUUGGUACGGGGGUAAUGACACCCGGCGGUCGGACGGGAGACAACGAUAGAUCCUGGGGUGUGCACAGACUCUGAAGGUGACCAUCCGCAUCUGUACUGAGCUAAGGACCCGACAACCACAUCUCCCAUCCCUGGUAGCAGCAGCAGGACGGAGCUGGUUUCGCAAACUCACCAAAGCUUGCAAAAAUAAUAGUGUCUUUCGGGCAAGCCUCCUUGGCUUCUUAGAUGGGCUUCUCUGGGAGCCACGGGUGGGAAGACACUAGAAAUCCACAGGACUACGCUCCUCACAAACGCGGCCCACAUCCUUACAUUUCUGCCAGUGGCCUUGGAAACGGGUUCCUGGGGACGGUGAUUGUCAGAAGCCAUGCUGCUUCCCUGGCUGCCUUACACACGCGCCCUCUCGAGCAGAACUCCUUCCUGGGUUUCUGAGCACAUCUCAGCUGUGGCUCUCCUGUAGCAGGACCCAUGGAGCUGUUUUUUUCUUUGGGAAUUUAAGAGUUAAAUGAACACAUUUCCUCAGC